GACGUAGGGCGCGAGCGUUGUCCGGAUUCAUUGGGCGUAAAGGGUGCGUAGGUGGCGGGGUAAGUCGGAUGUGAAAUCCCGGGGCUCAACCCCGGAACUGCAUUCGAUACUGCCUUGCUCGAGUACUGGAGAGGAGAUUGGAAUUCCCGGUGUAGCGGUGAAAUGCGCAGAGAUCGGGAGGAACACCCGUAGCGAAGGCGGCGCUCUGGGCCGGUACUGACGCUGAGGCGCGAAAGCUAGGGGAGCAAACGGG
rnacentral:rRNA from 1 species